AGACCUUAUUCGCUUAAUCUGCUAAACAGAGCGGGGGAACCAAUUGGGCCAAUUUUACUUGGCCUUGGGGUGAAUCUUACUUAGUAAGAAGGGAUACUCUCAGUCCCUAAUCCGACAGCUAACCUCGUCAGCGUUUUAUUGGAGAGAA
rnacentral:sRNA from 2 species